UUGCAAUACUGAAGAGGAAAGGAAAAAGUUACUUCGAUGUUCCUGUUGUGAGCAACUUUUUCAUCCUGCAUGUCUCGACCCUCCUCUCUUGGAUACAGAAACUGCAGAAUGGUCAUGUCAGUCUUGCAAGGAAAAGACCGAUGAGUAUCUUAAAGAAAGAAAAGCUGUUAUAGCUGAACUUUUGAAAAGGUAUGAUGCUGCUUCGGAUCGUAAGUCUAAUUUGUUGGCAAUUAUUCGUUCAUUGAAUCUUCCAAACAAUCCUUUGGAUGAUAUUAUCGAUCAGCUUGGUGGCCCUGAUAAGGUAGCGGAAAUAACUGGAAGAAGGGGAAUGCUUGUAAGGGCCCCCAACGGAAAGGGUGUUACUUACCAGCCACGAAACUCGAAGGAUGUG
rnacentral:misc_RNA from 1 species